rnacentral:rRNA from 1 species
GACGAACCGGGCGAACGUUAUUCGGAAUCACUGGGCGUAAAGGGCGCGUAGGCGGGCAGUCAAGUCCGGGGUGAAAUCUUUCGGCUCAACCGGAAAAGGGCCUUGGAUACUGGCUGUCUGGAGGGAGGUAGGGGCAUGCGGAACUUCCGGUGGAGCGGUGAAAUGCGUUGAUAUCGGAAGGAACGCCGGUGGCGAAAGCGGCGUGCUGGACCUCUUCUGACGCUGAUGCGCGAAAGCCAGGGGAGCGAACGGG